rnacentral:rRNA from 1 species
UAAGAGUUUGAUCCUGGCUCAGAUUGAACGCUGGCGGCAUGCUUUACACAUGCAAGUCGGACGGCAGCACAGGGAAGCUUGCUUCUCGGGUGGCGAGUGGCGAACGGGUGAGUAACAUAUCGGAACGUACCGGGUAGCGGGGAUAACUGAUCGAAAGAUCAGCUAAUACCGCAUACGUCUUGAGAGGGAAAGCAGGGGACCUUCGGGCCUUGCGCUAUCCGAGCGGCCGAUAUCUGAUUAGCUGGUUGGCGGGGUAAAGGCCCACCAAGGCGACGAUCAGUAGCGGGUCUGAGAGGAUGAUCCGCCACACUGGGACUGAGACACGGCCCAGACUCCUACGGGAGGCAGCAGUGGGGAAUUUUGGACAAUGGGCGCAAGCCUGAUCCAGCCAUGCCGCGUGUCUGAAGAAGGCCUUCGGGUUGUAAAGGACUUUUGUCAGGGAAGAAAAGGCCGUUGCCAAUAUCGGCGGCCGAUGACGGUACCUGAAGAAUAAGCACCGGCUAACUACGUGCCAGCAGCCGCGGUAAUACGUAGGGUGCGAGCGUUAAUCGGAAUUACUGGGCGUAAAGCGGGCGCAGACGGUUACUUAAGCAGGAUGUGAAAUCCCGGGCUCAACCCGGGAACUGCGUUCUGAACUGGGUGACUCGAGUGUGUCAGAGGGAGGUGGAAUUCCACGUGUAGCAGUGAAAUGCGUAGAGAUGUGGAGGAAUACCGAUGGCGAAGGCAGCCUCCUGGGAUAACACUGACGUUCAUGUCCGAAAGCGUGGGUAGCAAACAGGAUUAGAUACCCUGGUAGUCCACGCCCUAAACGAUGUCAAUUAGCUGUUGGGCAACUUGAUUGCUUGGUAGCGUAGCUAACGCGUGAAAUUGACCGCCUGGGGAGUACGGUCGCAAGAUUAAAACUCAAAGGAAUUGACGGGGACCCGCACAAGCGGUGGAUGAUGUGGAUUAAUUCGAUGCAACGCGAAGAACCUUACCUGGUUUUGACAUGUGCGGAAUCCUCCGGAGACGGAGGAGUGCCUUCGGGAGCCGUAACACAGGUGCUGCAUGGCUGUCGUCAGCUCGUGUCGUGAGAUGUUGGGUUAAGUCCCGCAACGAGCGCAACCCUUGUCAUUAGUUGCCAUCAUUCGGUUGGGCACUCUAAUGAGACUGCCGGUGACAAGCCGGAGGAAGGUGGGGAUGACGUCAAGUCCUCAUGGCCCUUAUGACCAGGGCUUCACACGUCAUACAAUGGUCGGUACAGAGGGUAGCCAAGCCGCGAGGCGGAGCCAAUCUCACAAAACCGAUCGUAGUCCGGAUUGCACUCUGCAACUCGAGUGCAUGAAGUCGGAAUCGCUAGUAAUCGCAGGUCAGCAUACUGCGGUGAAUACGUUCCCGGGUCUUGUACACACCGCCCGUCACACCAUGGGAGUGGGGGAUACCAGAAGUAGGUAGGGUAACCGCAAGGAGUCCGCUUACCACGGUAUGCUUCAUGACUGGGGUGAAGUCGUAACAAGGUAGCCGUAGGGGAACCUGCGGCUGGAUCACCUCCUUU